rnacentral:rRNA from 1 species
AUGAACGCUGGCGGCGUGGAUAAGGCAUGCAAGUCGAGUGGGUUUAGACCCACGGCAGACGAGGUAGGAACACGUAGGUAUCUACCCUCAAGUCGGAGAUAACCCAUCGAAAGGUGGAGUAAUAUUCGAUAGUCCCUCCGGGGUAAAGUUUUACUCGCCGCAAGGCGGGCUAAGACGCUUGAGGAAGAGCCUGCGGGCUAUCAGCUAGUUGGUAGGGUAAUGGCCUACCAAGGCGAUGACGGCUAGGGGAGCUGAGAGGCUGACCCCCACCGAUGGAACUGAGACACGGUCCAUACUCCUACGGGAGGCCGCAGUCGAGAAUCUUCCGCAAUGGGCGAAAGCCUGACGGAGCGACGCCGCGUGAUGGAUGAAGCGCUUCGGCGCGUAAACAUCUUUUGUAGGGGAAGAAGCCAGUAAUGGUUUGACUGUACCCUAAGAAUAAGGGGUUGCUAAACUCGU